rnacentral:ncRNA from 1 species
GUGGACCGGGCCCCUCUGGCGGUUUUUUCAAACCGUGAUGUCGGACCACUUC